rnacentral:lncRNA from 1 species
AGGUUUCAUUGCUUGCUCUCUCCUGCUCCCAGCCGACCAACACUGAAAAUAGGAGAAUCACCCCUUCUCUGCAGCCCCAGGAGACUGUUGGAAAUUUAUUCUCUUAUCCUUCAGUGUCAACAAAACCUCAAAAGGCAACCGGCUAAACAGGUGGAACUGAUCUGUGUUGUCCUUCACUGCUUUAACACACCAUAACCUCUGUGUGGGGAAAAACAUCUUUUGUCUUUCACAGCACCCUGUCCCACACAGGUAACAUCAGAUGCCACGUAAAGAUGACAGGAGUGUCACUCAAAUAGUGACAUCCAUGAGGUGCAGUGCGGAGCCCCUAGUCUCACCUUGCAGUGUCCGACUGCAUACUCCCUGCACCCAAGUUACAGUUGCUGAUGGCCAAAUAUUGCUAUGUAACAUGUCUAGCAAGCCUCAGUACAGGCAGGCAAAGACCCUGUCCAUCGUGAUUUGUGUUUAUUACCCUAGCUUCAGACACAGGAACCUUCUGCAGCUUGGAGUGGACUUGAGGUAUGGACGGUACUUAGUCAAACAGAUUGGACUUCAUCAAGUUAUGUUCUGUUGGACAUGGUAGCACAUGGGGUGCUGGAGUGAGACUGAAUGUCACAAGCCAAAUUGGAUUGAGCCUGGCCAGACUCCGUGGGCUGUCUGGACUGCUUGAGCAGCUUAAUCCUGUAGGAUGUCUCCUCCAUGCCCCAAAAGCAGCAUGAAGGAAAGCACAAACAUAUUUUGAUUGGAGUUUUAACAAGUGGGCAAUAGAGGGGAAAAGUCAACUAUAAAGGAAAUGGGAGGUCAUGAACAGGGUGGUGACCUUCUGUAGAUGCUUUUGGAAAAGAGGAUAAGUAAAUAAUGUUUGAUGCAACACAGAAGAGGGAACUAGCAGAAUGCUUCAAACAGAGAAGUGAUGUGGUCAGAGUAACCAGUCUUGGCUUGUGGUUCCUGAGUUGCUAAUUCCCAGGCUGUGCACAGCCCAGUCUCCCAGCAGUACUAAAUUGAUUAGGAUCAGGUAUGGCCAUGGUGUCACAUUGCCCUCACAUUAGCUUCUGCCCACACUACAGAGUUGUUGUUCUGCCUCUGGAAGGACUGACAAUACCUGAUCUGGUUUUAAUGUCUGCUGGGGUACAAAAUUAUCCCUUCAACAUUUUUUCUGAACAAAUCUGAAUUGGCAGAAUGAGUUAAAUUGCAUUAGUGGCUUUCAUUUGAUGGCUGUGGUGUAUUUGAUCAUUAAUAGGAGGCCUACAGUCAGCCUUGCUUUGUUGUCAGAUCAUGGCCCUUACAGCAGUUGAUGGCUGUUUUGUUAUGAGCUGUGUUGGUUAAUGCUGGAGGGAGAGAUACUGGGGCAGUCUAGGUAUGGAAGAAGGAGACCAAAAUAAGGGUGUGUUAGUUGCACAGAUGGAUCAAAGGACUUUGUCUUAGAGAUGCCAUGUAGAAGCAGCCUAAAAUUUAGACGUACCCUGGGUCCUAGGAUCUACAACAGGGUUUCAGUCAGAGCUGGCAGUUGACAUACAAGCUUGAGUGGCAGGUAGACUGGUGAUGAUACACACAAAGCAAAUAAUAAGAGGGCUUUCAGAGAAGAGAAGGAACCACGUUCUAGUUUUGUUGAGCUUUAACUUCCUGCUAGUCGUCCACAGAAGAGAGGAAAAAGGCUAUGAUUUGAGUUUGGAUAGACAGAGAUAGCUCUGGGGAAAGACACAGAUCUGUAAGUCAUCUGCAGAGAUGUUAGUUGUAUUUGUAUUUCAGAUGAGAUAACUCAGAGAUAAUGUGGGAGGAUAAAAGGA